UUUUAAAGAAGACUUGCAUUAAUUUGAAGGUUUUAAUUAAAUUAAACUCUAGAAUUGCAUAAUUGAAGUUUGAGGCAAAAUCCUAAAGUAUUACAUUGCUAAAAAAGUGAUUUAUGUCAUUUCGUUAUGAAUUUGAGCCUUUCUAGCUUACCUAAUCAUAAUUAUAUCCGUAGUACCAUUAUUUGAGCCUAUAAGGAUGCAUAUAAAGAUGCAUAUUUGGAGCUUUUAUUCCAUUAACCUCAUUUACCUACUUUACUAUGAGCCUAAAUGAUUAUUUAUUUUUUCUACCCUUUAUAGAUCAUAAAAAGAGCUUAUUAUUUAAUUUGAUAUGAAAAUAAGCCAUAAGAAUUUAAAUAUUUGAUUAACCUCUUUAAUCCUUAAAUCUUUGUAGUUCUAUUCGUAGGCAAAGCUUUCAUCUAUUUUAUUCAUUUGGUGUUUCUUUUAUUUUAUUUGAUUUAUUUGUUUUUUAUUAUGAGGUGUUAAAUCAAUUAAUGCUUACACUAACAGCCUAUUAAUAUAAUAAUUGCAUUUAAUUAAUUUAAUUCACACUCUUCCUUUUGGGUUCGCUACUUAAUUAUGCAUUGUGAAGAAUUAAUCCUCAAAUUCUGGUGUUUUUUGCUGCUGUGUUUUUUACAAAGUUUGCUAUCGAAGAAGAAUGAAAAUGAAGCUGGUGGUAGACAAAACGGUGCACUUAAAUGCCACAUCAUUAAUGAAGGGCAAAACUAUCAUUUUGCUUCCAUUUGACUCAAGGACAAGAUUACUAUGUGUCUUGGUAUUAUUGAUGCAUUCUAAGUGAAGGUACACCGUUUUAUAAGGAGAACCUAACAUAUAGAUGGUCUUCUUCUCCAUAGAAAGAAACAAAGAGAGGAAUAGUUGUUCGAGUUUCAGAGAGCGGAAAACUCUAGAAGGUGGUUUUCUUUUCUUUUGUGUUCUUCAUUGUUGUUCUUUGUGAGAUUCUGAGUGAAUCAAGUUAGGAAACACAAAGAGAGAGGGUGUAAAAAGGGAAUUAGGAUGGUUUGGGUAUCUGUGUGAUUCCACCAUUGAAGCUCUGUAACUUGGUCUUGUAAAGGUAGCAAUUUAAUAAGAAAACAUAAGCUCUCACUGGAGCAAUGGAGACGUAAGCAAUUUUUCUGAACCUUGAUAAAUCUUGGUAUCUUUGUGUUAGAAUUGUUUUAGUUUUGUCCUCUGAUUACAUAAUAGUGGUAUCAGAGCUUGGGUCCUUUGAUUCUUUGUGAUUCCUUGUGAUUGUUUGUUCAAGAAUCUUGAUGAGAGCUUUGGCUUUGGGCAAUUCCAACAAUGUCUACAAAAUUGGAGAUUGAGGUCUUCAAUGGCAAGCGAGAUUCCUUACUCUGGCGCAAGAAGAUGAGGGUUGUGUUGGUCUAGAUGAAGGUUGCGAAGGCAAUCAAUGGCUCAUAUGGAGCAGAUGUCAUCGAAGACAAGAAAUUGGAGAUUGAUGAAAUUGCAAUGAGCACGAUCAUUCUCCAUCUCUCUGACAAUGUGUUGAGAAAGGUUGAUGAUGUCAAAACUACUUCACAGAUGUAGCAAAAUCUUGAGCAGCUUUACUUGGUGAGAUCUUUGCCUAACUGAAUUCUUUUACUCGAUCAAUUUUUUGGUUUUAAAAUGGACUUAGAUGCUAAUCUUGAUACUUUUAAUUGUUUCAUUCUGAGUGUUGCAAAUUGUAAUGUUGUAUUUGAUAAUGAACACCAUACUGUUAUAUUGUUAAACUCUCUGCCUGAAACUUAUAGAGAAGUUAAGAAUGCCAUUAAUUAUGGUAGGAAUUCUUUGUCUGUAGAAACUGUGUUGAGUGCUGUAAAGUCCAAAAACUUGGAAUUGAAAUCUGAGUCUAAAGGAGAAGGGCUUACUGUGAGAGGUAGAAGUACCACUCAAAAUUGGAGUCAAAGUGACCAUAGGAGUAAGUCUAGAGAGAAUUCUAGAACUAAAGGCAGAGGUGUUAUUACUGAUUUUAUCAGAAAUUGUUUUAAGAAAAAGAAAGAUGAGAAAGAAAAAAAACCAAGAGAAUGGUAACUUAGCUGUAGCCUAUACUGAUUUGAAUCCUACAGAGGUAUUGGUUGUGACUUCUAAUCAAGAAAAUUCUGAAUGGGUCUUAGAUUCAGGUUGUUCUUUCCAUAUGUGUCCUGAUUUAAGUUGUUUUCAAUCAUAUACUAAGUGUGAUGGUGGUCGAAUUCUUUUAUGAAAUAAUCUAUCAUGUCAAGUGAUUGGCAUUGGUAAUGUGCAACUACAGAUGUUUGAUGGCACUACUAAGACUCUUACCUUUCUAAGACAUGUUCCUGUUUUGAAGAGAAAUUUAAUUUCUCUUGGUAUGCUUGAUGAAUCUGGUUUUUCUUGUAAAACUGAAAAUCGUACUAUGAAAGUGACAAAGGUUUCUCUUGUUGUUAUGAAAAGUGUGAAAAAGAAUGGUUUGUAUGUAUUGCUUGGUAAAAUAGUGACUAAUUCUAGUAAUGCAUCUGUUAGUUCAUCAAUUGACAAAACUAUUUUGUGGCAUAAUAGAUUGGGUCAUAUCAGUGAAAAAGAUCCGUACUAUUUGUAUAAACAUAAUGGUUUUGGUAAGGACAUAAUCAGCAAGGUAGAAUUUUAUGAAAAUGAUAUUUUGGAAAAACAACAUAGGCUUAGUUUUAACUUAAGUAGAGCUAAAUCUAUGUUGGAAUAUGUACAUGCUAAUUUGUGGGGCCCUGCCAAGGUACAAACACAAAGUGGUAAUAUAUAUUUUUUGUCAAUAAUUGAUGAUUUUUCUAGAAAGGUUUAGGGUCACUUGUUGAAAACCAAAGAUGAGGCAUGAGGCAUUUACCAAGUUUGAAGAAUGGAAAUUGCUUUUUGGAAACCAAACCAAUAAACUUAUUAAAGCCUUACGAACCAAUAAUGGCCUUGAGUUUUGUAACAAAGAAUAUGAUGAAUUUUAUAAAUUUCAUGGUAUUCUAGACAUAGAACUAUAAAGCACACACCACAGCAAAACGACAUAGCUGAAAGGGUAAAUAGGACUUUGCUUGAUAAAGUGAGAUGCAAGCAUGAUUAUAGCAAGCUUAGAGUUUUUGGUUAUGCUACAUAUGUCCAUCAAUCUGAAGGAAAAUUGGAACCUAGGAGUAUAAAAUAUAUCUUCUUAGGUUACCCUUUAGGUGUUAAAGGUUAUAGACUAUGGGAUAAAGAAAAUCAUGGUUUUAAAUUUAUUAUAAGUAGAGAUGUGAUAUUUGAUGGAAAUUUUAUGCCUUGCAAAGGUACUAAUAAUGCAGGGAAUGAGGUGAAUAACAAGCUAGAAACAAAGAAAUUUGACUUACUACCUGAGGCGGAGAGUCAAGAGGAUGAAAAUCUAAGUGAAAAGUCAUCAGUUGAGGAUGUUAUUGAACCCGAGAAGCACACACCUGUCCAAUCUGAUGAAGAUUCUGAAGAUUAACAAGCAAGGCAGCAGUCAUCAAGCUCAAGACAUAAGAAUAUAGCCUCUACUUACUCGUGAUAGAGCAAAGAGACAAAUAAAGCCGAAUAGGAAAUAUAGCUAUGCAAAUUUCAUAGCUUAUGCUUUGGUGGCAUUUCAAGAUCUCACAGAUAAUGAGCAAAGGAAUUACUUGGAAGCUAUGAAAUCAAAACACACUAUACGUGGAAAAAAGCUAUGGUUGAAGAAAUGGAGUCACUUCAUAAAAAUAAGAAUUGGGACUUCAUACCAGCACCAUUAAACCAGAAAAUUGUAGAUUGUAAAUGGAUUUACAGGUUAAAGAGGGCAUGACAAAGUCUGAACUAGUGAGAUUCAAAGCCAUAUUGGUGGCUAAGGGUUUCACAUAAGUGGAAGGCAUAGACUACAAUGAAAUUUUCUCUCCGAUUGUUAAAUAUACAAUUAUUAGGGUCAUGUUGGCUUUGAUAACUCAAUUUGAUUGGGAGUUAGAGUAGAUGGAUGUUAAGAUAGCGUUUCUUCAUGGAGAUUUAGAAGAAACCAUAUACAUGAGGUAGCCAGAGGAAUUUGAGUUUAAGGAAAAAGGUGAAGAGCUUGUGUGUUUACUUAAGAAAUCAUUCUAUGGACUUAAACAAUCACCAAGACAAUGGUAUAAAAGAUUUGAUUUCUUUGUGGUGAAAGCUAGUUUUGAGAGAAUCAAUUUUGAUAGUUGUCUAUAUUUUAAGGAUCCCAUGAGUGAUAAGACUAUUUACCUCCUAUUAUAUUUGGAUGAUAUGUUAGUAGCAGGUCCAAAUGGCAGAGUUGUCCAAUCGGUGAAGGAAUUACUUAAUUCUGAAUUUGAUAUGAAGGAUCUUGGACAAGCCAAGAAAAUUUGUGGAAUUACAAUUGAGAAAAACAGGUUUAAAUAUGAGAUGAAGCUUCUACAAUCAUAAUAUAUACAGAAAGUGAUUUCCAGAUUCUCUAUGGAAGGUGCAAAACCAGCUUAUGUCCCUCUUGGUGGACAUUUCAAGUUGUUAAGUGAGCAAUGUCCAUCUACAGAAAAAGAGAAGGAAAAUAUGGUGGCUGUACCAUAUUCAAAUGUUAUAGGGUCUGUGAUGUAGACAAUGAUUUGUACAAGGCCAGAUUUAGCACAUGCCAGUAGUGUUUUGAGUAGAUAUAUGGAUGAUCCUAACAGAGAUCAUUGGGAGACAAUGAAAUGGCUUCUAACGUAUUUGAAGCAAUCAAUGGAUGAAGGAUUAUUCUAUAAAGGAAAUCCAAAUGGAGUUGAACUAAAUGAAUAUUUAGAUUCUGAAGAAGCUAAGGAUAGGGACAAAAGAAGGUCUAUAUCUUCUUAUGUGUUUACUUUGUGUAGGAAUUGCAUAAGUUGGAAGUCUCAGUUGCAACCUGUGGUGGCAUUAUCAACAACUGAAGUUGAGUACAUAGCAGCAGCAGAAGAGGCUGCGAAAGAAGCAAUUUGGCUUAAGGGUCUGUAGGUAGAGCUUAAAGCUCUUGAUCAUGAAGUGGUUUUAUAUUUAAACAGUCAAAGCGCCAUUCAUUUAUGCAAGAAUCUAGUAUUUCAUGAGAGGUCUAAGAAUAUUUAGGUUAAAUACCAUUUCAUUAAAGAUAUGAUAGCUCAAGAGGUAUUUAAAUUGAAGAAAAUUCUCACUAAGUUUAAUCCUUCUGAUAUGGGUACAAAGGUACUCACUCUUGGCAAGUUUAAUGCUUGCAAAAAUCUACUCCGAAUUGGAGUAGGCUAAUCUGGUGAUAGUUGGUUUUUUGCUGGGAUGGUGAUGAGUUUCUUUAAAUAUGAAUUUGAGGAUUAGGUGGAGAUAUGUGAAGAAUUAAUCCUCAAAUUUUGGUGUUUUUUGCUAAUGUGUUUUUUAUAAGGUUUUCUGUCGAAGAAUAAUGAAAAUGAAGCUGGUAGUAGAAAAAACAAUGCACUUCAAAUGCCACAUCAUUAACGAAGGGCAAAACUAUCAUUUUGCUUCCAUUUUACUCAAGGACCAGAUUACUACGUGUAUUGGUAUUAUUGAUGCAUUCUAAGUGAAGCUACACCGUUUCAUAAGGAGCACCUGAUAUUGAUGGUCUUCUUCUCCAUAGAAAGAAACAGAGAGAGGAACAUAGUUCUUCGAGUUUCAAAGAACGAAAAAUUCCAAAAAGUAGUUUUCUUUUCUUUUGUGUUCUUCAUUGCUAUUCUCUGUGAGGUUCUAAGUGAAUCAAUUUGGGAAACACAAAGAGAGAGGGUGUAAAAAGAGAAUUGGGAUGAUUUGGGUAUCUGUCUGAUUCCACCAUUGAAGCUCUAUAAGUUGGUCUUAUAAAGGUAGCAAUUUAAUAAGAAAAUAGAAGCUCUCACUGGAGCAACGAGGACGUAGGCAAUUUUGCCGAACCUCGAUAAAUCUUGGUGUCUUUAUGUUAGAAUUGUUAUAGUUUUGUUCUCUGAUUACAUAGCAUGCGUCAUAACCAUUUUAUAUUUCAUAUACUUGUGAGUGGAAGUCUCACAACACUUCCUUUUAGCUUGAUUAAUUUUUUGUUGUAAUGAUCAUAAAAAUAGAAUGAAAUAUUACAUGGAAAAAUACAUUUCUUUGUUUUCCUCCCCAUGCACUUGUAUGGAUCAUCAAUAUUGAAUCAUACUAUCCUAUAAAAAACCUAUGAAACUAUAGUCCACAAACUAUAUUACAAGCUUCGGAUAUAUAUAGCAAUAACUAAUCCCCUUGAACAAGCAACUCAAAAGGUAACAAUGGUAGUUCACAACUCCACUCUAUAAUAGAUAAAGGCAUCAUAAACUUAGUCAUUAAAACUAAUAGAUAAAGGCAUCAUAAACUGAAUCAUUAAGACUAACUUUGUACUCUCUACAUGAUCUAAAUGCCAUUAUAUUGCCUAAUACAAUUUCCUAUGUCCAUAGCCUAUAUGAUAUUGCACUAUGCUAAUUAUCCUGUUUAAUGUACCAUUACAAAUUUUCAACUGGCAAAUCAAGGCUCAAUUCAUGUAGGAAACAUCACUGCAAAAUGCAAGCAUCACUACAACCUGCAUAAUAAACCAAUAUCAUAAAACCCACAUUUAUCUUUUUCAAAUCAAUCUUGGCAAGUCUUGGAAACAAAAGCAGCCACUCGGAGCAACUUAUCCUGAAGUACAAAACUAAAAGAAAAUUAAAUAGUUAUGAUGAAAUUUGAGUAAAACCCAUUUGCAGCUAUCCUAUCAACAGUAAUAGUGUGCUAUAAGCAAAUCAUUAUCAUAUUCACAUUCAUGAAAGUUAAAAACAAUAGGCUAAUAGCAUGACACUUACUAGAAUAGCUACCUUGAGUUUCAAGCAAACAAAUUGCCAAUAUGAUUUCCUACGUAAAUAAAUAAACCUUAUAAUUUCUUUUUUAUGGAAAAUUAAGAAUGUUAAUUAAUGGUUAUACAUUUCAUCAAAUUGGAUGAUAUUGAUCCUUCAAACUUCCAGGUUCCAAGUUGUACUCCCUUCAAUUAUGUCCACAUUCCAAUACAAAAAAAAAAAAAAAAAAUGAGCUUCAUUGGUGUCAAAACUCUAUUUUUCCAAGUCUACACACUGCAUAAUUAUAUAUACAUUUAUUUUCAAAAUGUAAUUUGAUCAUGAACAAUUUGAUUCCAUAUAUACAGAUGCUUAAUUAGUUCUCUAUAUUUCCCAAUAAGUUUCCACAUAAAUAACUCAAAGUGCAACAUAAAUCCAAACACCCAUUCUUUUUGAACAUAUGUAGUCACAUAUGUACACAUAUACAUUAAUGCAUAUAUAGACAUACUAUAACACCCCAUCCUGAGAUAUAUCGGUAUUUUUCAUACGUUGAUUGAGUUUGACCAAUUUAAUCAGAGUUAACCAAGUGGGUCUAUGACUGAAUUUUUGUUGUGGGUAGAAUUUUACAUUGACCAAGGCACCAUGGUGAAGUGCACACUAACAAAAUUCAUAGGCUACUAGCACGCUGAAAGCAGAGCUAUGUUUCAAAAGUUAUUGACAAAAUAAACUGCAGUUCAGACUACCCGGGCAAUAUGGAGUUUGACUUUUUAUUUUUGUAGAAUUUGGAUUGCUUUUAUAGAAUUUGGUUUUGAUUUAUACAUUAUUGUGAAAUAUUAGUCGAUACAAGUUUAUAGACUAGUGGGAUGCUUAAUUUGGAUUUGUGGUUGAAAAGUUAUGGAAUUCCAAAGUUUGAUAAAUUUUUCCGAGACUAGUUUUACUAGGUACAAAUUUGUAUGUGUGAAAAAGAUGUGCACAGUGCUCACCAACACCGUGCCAUGUGGCACCUCAUAGCCAAUCCCAGGAGUGAACAGUGGAACUAUGGAGACCUUUAUUGGUGGAUUUGAGGGAGGGAGAGGGAGAGAGAUAAGAGAGAAAGAGAGAGGAGAGACAAAAGGAAAGAGAGAAACAUGCCCUUUGUCGUUUGCUAUUCUUCAAGCACUUGUGAUGUGCAUGCUUUAGCCCAUGGUGUAGCCUGUUUCUCGACCAAUGAGCCAGUGAAGUUUCACGGUGGGCAAGCCGAUGAUGCGCUAGGAUUCGCCCUAUUUUCAGUCGAUGACAUCGUUUGCUUUACUUACCAAUUUCUCCAAAUCUGGCCAGCCCCAAACCUCACCACCUGCAUAGUUGGGACGCUGACUCAUCAACUAUCCUUCCCACUAGAUUUGACCGCCGAUAGCUGCCAGAUGGGCAGGCUCUAAAGAAAUUUUCUGACAACGGUUGUGGUUCGCUGGUUCCUUUAGUUUUGCCAAGUUUCUAAUGAGCCCACCACCCUUUUCCACCUAUUUUAACCUCUCUAAGUGCAAAUUUGAGGUCCGCUUCAUCUAGUUCUUACUAGAUUGGGAGAUCUAGGACAUCAGGUUACCCAAGCUUUCCAAUCAGAUCCUGACCACUACUGGUUUGAUCUCCGAGAGGUAAGAUCCGAUUUGUGAUACUUGCAUCAUAAGCUUCAAUCUAAUAUAUAAAUUGUCAAUUUUGGAUAAUGUUUUUAUUAGCUGGUAAACUAUGUAUAAUAUACCGAUUAAAAUAUUAUUUUAAUCGAUAUUGUAAUAUUUUAAUAGAUGUUGUAUCUUGAUGAUAUUUUAGGCACCCGUGUGAAUGUGGGAUUGACCCUAUGGAGGAUCCCAAAUGAUUUGCAUAUUUCACGUGAGUGGUCCAUUUUUCUAAAAUUUGUUUUUAGGCGAACUAAAUUUUGUUAUGCAAUAAUUAAAUUCAUUUAAAUUUUGUAAUAUGUAACACUCUGUCCCUAAGUAUACUGAAAUUUUUCAUGCUUUGGUCAAGUCUGACUGAGUUGAUCAAGUGGGAUAGCAUUUUCUUUUUGUUUGGAUUGAGUUUUUGUUUUGACCAAUGCACCAUUUUAGAGUACGCAUCAUCUCGAGUUCAUAGAUUAGUAACAUAUUGAAAACAGAGUUGUGGUUCAAAAGUUAUAAACGAAACAAAUUGCGGUCCAGACUUUUUGAGUAGUGCAUGUUUGACUUUUUAUUCUUGAAAAAAUUGGUUUUGACUUGUAAUGAUUUAAAGUAUUUGUCGAUAUGAGUUUAUAGACUAGUGGCACACUUAAUUUAAAUUUAUGGUUAAAAAGUUAGAGACCUUUGAAGUUUAAUAAAUUUUUUUGAGACUGUGUUUAAUGAUUGUGAAAAUUGUGUGCAUAGUGCCCACUAACUCUGUGCAAGAUAUCAAAAAUCUAAGUGCACAAUGGCACCCACAGGUGGUUUUAAUUGGCGGAGAGGAGAAAGGAAAGAGAAAGAGGAGAAAGAGAGUAGAUGAUCGUUGGUUCAUUAUGCUCCAGCCACCAUCGGUUUGCACACACCAUACCAAUAGGUUGGCCACUUUGAAAUCAGCUGGCUAGUAAAACUUCACGACCAGUAGGCCGGUGACACGUCGAGAUCAGUGUGUUUUUCAUUGGCAGUGCCACUCGAUUCGCCUGUCGAUUUCUCCCAAUCCGGCCACCCUUUUGUUACACACCCUUACCACAAUGUUAUCAACCCUCAAGUCGACCAACCAACCGAAUUUCAAGACUAGUGGCCGCUGGAUGUAGCAGUGCUGGUAACCUUUACCAUUGAUGGUGGCAACUCAUCGGAAUCCUUGGUUCCAGUGAGUUCGAACAUGUCCACCGACCUUUCCCCCUAUUUUAACCUCCUUAAAUCCAAAUUCGAAGUCCUUUUUUUCCAAACCUUGCUAGAUUGAGAGAUCCAUGGAUAGUUAGUUCCCAAGGUUCCCAGUUAGAUCUUGGCCACCAUCGGUUCAAUCUCCGAGAGGCACCAGUGUGAAUUGUGCUGAUUGAUUUUGUGGAGGAUCUUGAGUGAUCCACGUGUUUCAGUUUGAAGGGAAACCACCAUGAGUGGAUAGUACACAAAAAGAGAAAGCCAAUGAGCACCAAAACAACGUUGAAAACCACUAGACACCGUAACAUGCAACACUAGAAGUUACUACGAGUGGAUCUCAUUGGCCUAUCUUCUUGGAGCGCAUAAGGAUAUGCAUGAAGCGUUGUAUCAAGCUAAAAUUUUGGGAAUAGCUUUUUUGAAUGUGGUUGCCUAUAAAAUUUUAUGGUGAUCCAAUAUGUCUAUGGCCACUUGUGACAUUUUUAGCUGAUGGGGUUCAAGAUCGAGGCAAGUUAGGAUUUAUGUGGUUUGGGCUUAAAACGUUAGAAAUCGGUUCUAACUUGGCCUAACCUCGUGGACAUGCAAGAUUUGGAGAAAGGAAGAAGAACACACCAAGAAGUCAAGUUGAGCUUUGUGAUCCUACUAGGUUUGUAAUUUUUCUUUCUAGGAA